AACGAACGCUGGCGGCAGGCUUAACACAUGCAAGUCGAGCGCCCCGCAAGGGGAGCGGCAGACGGGUGAGUAACGCGUGGGAACGUACCUUUUGCUACGGAAUAACUCAGGGAAACUUGUGCUAAUACCGUAUGUGCCCUUCGGGGGAAAGAUUUAUCGGCAAAGGAUCGGCCCGCGUUGGAUUAGCUAGUUGGUGAGGUAAAGGCUCACCAAGGCGACGAUCCAUAGCUGGUCUGAGAGGAUGAUCAGCCACACUGGGACUGAGACACGGCCCAGACUCCUACGGGAGGCAGCAGUGGGGAAUAUUGGACAAUGGGCGCAAGCCUGAUCCAGCCAUGCCGCGUGAGUGAUGAAGGCCCUAGGGUUGUAAAGCUCUUUCACCGGUGAAGAUAAUGACGGUAA
rnacentral:rRNA from 1 species